AAAUUGAAGAGUUUGAUCAUGGCUCAGAUUGAACGCUGGCGGCAGGCCUAACACAUGCAAGUCGAGCGGUAGCACAGAGAGCUUGCUCUCGGGUGACGAGCGGCGGACGGGUGAGUAAUGUCUGGGAAACUGCCUGAUGGAGGGGGAUAACUACUGGAAACGGUAGCUAAUACCGCAUAACGUCGCAAGACCAAAGUGGGGGACCUUCGGGCCUCAUGCCAUCAGAUGUGCCCAGAUGGGAUUAGCUAGUAGGUGGGGUAACGGCUCACCUAGGCGACGAUCCCUAGCUGGUCUGAGAGGAUGACCAGCCACACUGGAACUGAGACACGGUCCAGACUCCUACGGGAGGCAGCAGUGGGGAAUAUUGCACAAUGGGCGCAAGCCUGAUGCAGCCAUGCCGCGUGUGUGAAGAAGGCCUUCGGGUUGUAAAGCACUUUCAGCGGGGAGGAAGGCGAUAAGGUUAAUAACCUUGUCGAUUGACGUUACCCGCAGAAGAAGCACCGGCUAACUCCGUGCCAGCAGCCGCGGUAAUACGGAGGGUGCAAGCG
rnacentral:rRNA from 1 species